GGGCGUUGUGGCGUGCGCCUGUAAUCCAGCUGCUUUGGAAGUCGGGGUUGGUGGAUCGCUUGAGAGCGGGAGUCCUGUAUGUCGUCGGUCUAUGGCGAUCGGGCGUCCGCGCUAAGCUCGGCAUCGAUAUGGUUACUUGGUCGGAGGAUCGGGCAACCAGGUCGUCUAAGGAGGGACGUACUGGCCCAGGGCGGAAACGCAGCAGGCAAAAGUCCCCGUGUGGAGCAGUAGUGGGAUAGCGCCUGUGAAUAGUCGGCGGCUUACAGCCCGUUCAACACAGGCAUCUUCUGAGGAUUUGUUCAUCAGAACUGAAUCGAUUUCAAGGGAAAUCUGCUGAAUAUCGUUGGAUAUUAACAUUAAUCUGGAAAUGUAUUCAUG
rnacentral:SRP_RNA from 1 species